AUGAAAUGUGAAAAAGUAGGAAAUUUCCAAAAUGGUCAUCUGACUAUAGUUCUUUCUCAAAUUGGUCCUAUGACGUUUAAUUGAACCCAAACUGAUCCUCC